UGAACUAACAUAUGAUGAUGUUCAAAGAGGUUUGGAGCCUUUGUGCUCUCCGUUUAUCCAGAAAAUAAUAAUUUUAUAGUGGUUAUUCCAUCGAUUUAGGAGGUAUUAUGAAGUUUUACUAACUUAAUUGAUAAAAACCCUUGAACGAUGCUCAUUUUGCAUGAAAAAGAGUUAAGCAUACAUUAAUACAAAUGUAGAAUAUGGUAGAAAUUUCAAAACAACACUAAAGAUUAUAGGCUUCAAUAUAUAAAGUAUUUACCAAAAACUCAAUAUUUUUGUAGGGGUUAGCCCAUUGAUUUUUAGAAAAUUUCAAAAAAUAUGACAAUAUUGUUUUAGUUCCUAGUUGCAUCCUGCACUAACAUAUGAUGAUGUUCAAAGAGGUUUGGAGCUUUUUUCGUCUCCGUUUAUCAAGAAAAUAAUAACUUUAUAGUGGUUAUUCCAUCGAUUUAGGGAGUAUUAUGAAGUUUUACUAAAUUAAUUGAUAAAAACCUUUGAACGAUGCUCAUUUUGCAUGAAAAAGAGUUAAGCAUACAUUAAUACAAAUGUAGAAUUUGGUAGAAAUUUUAAAACAACACUAAAGAUUAUAGGCUUCAGUAUAUAAAGUAUUUACCAAAAACUCAAUAUUUUUGUAGGGGUUAGCCCAUUGAUUUUUAGAAAAUUUUAAAAAAUAUGACAAUAUUGUUUUAAUGUCUAGUUGCAUCCUGCACUAACAUAUGAUGAUGUUCAAAGAGGUUUGAAGCCUUUGUCGUCUCCGUUUAUCAAAAAAAUAAUAAUUUUAUAGUGGUUAUUCCAUCGAAUUAGGAGGUAUUAUGAAGUUUUACUAAAUUAUUUGAUAAAAACUAUUGAACGAUGCUCAUUUACCAUGAAAAAGAGUUUAGCAUACAUUAAUACAAAUGUAGAAUAUGGUAGAAAUUUUAAAACAACACUAAAGAUUAUAGGCUUCAGUAUAUAAAGUAUUUACUAAAAACUCAAUAUUUUUGUAGGGGUUAGUUAGCCCAUAGAUUUUGAGAAAAUUUCAAAAAAUAUGAAAAUAUUAUUUUAAUGGCUAGUUGCAUCCUGAACUAACAUAUGAUGAUGUUCAAAGAGGUUUGGAGCCUUUUUGCUCUCCGUUUAUCAAGAAAAUAAUAAUUUUAUAGUGGUUAUUGCAUCGAUUUAGGAGGUAUUAUGAAGUUUUACUAAAUUAAUUGAUAAAAACCAUUGAACGAUGCUCAUUUUGCAUGAAAAAGAGUUUAGAAUACAUUAAUACAAAUGUAGAAUAUGGUUGAAAUUUUAAAACAACACUAAAGAUUAUAGGCUUCAGUAUAUAAAGUAUUUACCAAAAACUCAAUAUUUUUGUAAGGGUUAGCCCAUAGAUUUUGAGAAAAUUUCAAAAAAUAUGACAAUAUUGUUUUAAUGCCUAGUUGCAUCCUGAACUAACAUAUGAUGAUGUUCAAAGAGGUUUGGAGCCUUUGUGCUCUCCGUUUAUCAAGAAAAUAAUAAUUUUAUAGUGGUUAUUCCAUCGAUUUAGGAGGUAUUAUGAAGUCUUACUAAAUUAAUUGAUAAAAACAUUGAACGAUGCUCAUUUUGCAUAAAAAAUAGUUUAGCGUACAUUAAUACAAAUGUAGAAUAUUGUUGAAAAUUUAAAACAACACUAAAGAUUAUAGGCUUCAGUAUAUAAAGUAUUUUCCAAAAGCUCAAUAUUUUUGUAAGGGUUAGCCCAUAGAUUUUGAGAAUAUUUCAAAAAAAUAUGACAAUAUUGUUUUUAUGCCUAGUUGCAUCCUGCACUAACAAAUGAUGAUUUUCAAAGAGGUUUGGAGCCUUUGUGCUCUCCGUUUAUCAAGAAAAUAAUAAUUUUAUAGUGGUUAUUUCAUCGAUUUAGG
rnacentral:lncRNA from 1 species